GACGAACGCUGGCGGCGUGCUUAACACAUGCAAGUCGAACGGUGAACUCCGCUUGCGGGGGGAUCAGUGGCGCACGGGUGAGUAACACGUGGGCAACUUGCCCUCAGCUCUGGGAUAACUCCAAGAAAUUGGGGCUAAUACCGGAUAUGACCGCUGACCGCAUGGUCUGGUGGUGGAAAGAUUUAUCGGCUGGGGAUGGGCCCGCGGCCUAUCAGCUUGUUGGUGGGGUAGUGGCCUACCAAGGCGACGACGGGUAGCCGGCCUGAGAGGGUGACCGGCCACACUGGGACUGAGACACGGCCCAGACUCCUACGGGAGGCAGCAGUGGGGAAUAUUGCGCAAUGGGCGAAAGCCUGACGCAGCGACGCCGCGUGGGGGAUGACGGCCUUCGGGUUGUAAACCUCUUUCAGCAGGGACGAAGCGAAAGUGACGGUACCUGCAGAAGAAGCACCGGCCAACUACGUG
rnacentral:rRNA from 1 species